rnacentral:rRNA from 1 species
GGGCAAAAGCCUGAUGAAGCAACGCCGCGUGAGUGAAGAAGGAUUUCGGUUCGUAAAACUCUGUUGUAAGGGAAGAACAAGUACAGUAGUAACUGGCUGUACCUUGACGGUACCUUAUUAGAAAGCCACGGCUAACUACGUGCCAGCAGCCGCGGUAAUACGUAGGUGGCAAGCGUUGUCCGGAAUUAUUGGGCGUAAAGCGCGCGCAGGUGGUUUCUUAAGUCUGAUGUGAAAGCCCACGGCUCAACCGUGGAGGGUCAUUGGAAACUGGGAGACUUGAGUGCAGAAGAGGAUAGUGGAAUUCCAAGUGUAGCGGUGAAAUGCGUAGAGAUUUGGAGGAACACCAGUGGCGAAGGCGACUAUCUGGUCUGUAACUGACACUGAGGCGCGAAAGCGUGGGGAGCAAACAGGAUUAGAUACCCUGGUAGUCCACGCCGUAAACGAUGAGUGCUAAGUGUUAGGGGGUUUCCGCCCCUUAGUGCUGCAGCUAACGCAUUAAGCACUCCGCCUGGGGAGUACGGUCGCAAGACUGAAACU